GACGUGUGUGGCUGUAGCCACCCGUCCCGGGUACAAGUCCCGGGUGGUGAGGACGGUGUCUGUGGUUGUCUUCCCAGACUCUGCUUUCUGCCGUCUUCGGUCAAGUACCAGCUGGUGGUCCGCAUG
rnacentral:misc_RNA from 1 species